rnacentral:lncRNA from 1 species
CAUUCCCAACCAUGGCUACCUUUCGGUGGACCAUUCACUGGCUGAGCCGCAUUUUGACCCUUUUGGACGCUUCCCUGGCACGCCCCGUAAUUUGGGUAGCCUCGUAGGGGCAUAUACGUGCCCGCAGCUCGACCGUUUCAAACUUGGACGGAAGCGAGAGAGGGGUGCGGCACUCGUGUCACACAUCUCACAAAGGUGAACUCGGCACGCGGGAUCCACACCGUCUGCGAAUUGUAUCUUUGGCGCGAACAAUGGAUCGAUCUUCUUUGAUGACCUCAACCGUUGGAUCGCAUUCUGCACAUAUUACGGCAC